GAUUAACGCUGGCGGCGUGCCUAAUACAUGCAAGUCGAACGGAGGCCUUCGGGCCUUAGUGGCGAACGGGUGAGUAAUACGUAGGUACCUGCCUUUAAGACGAGGAUAGCCAUUGGAAACGAUGGAUAAUACUGGAUAGGACAGUGAAAGAAGCAUUUCUGACUGUUUAAAGGAGCAAUCCGCUUAAAGAGGGGCCUGCGGCGCAUUAGCUAGUUGGUGGGGUAAAGGCCUACCAAGGCGAUGAUGCGUUGCCGGACUGAGAGGUUGAACGGCCACAAUGGAACUGAGAACGGUCCAUACUCCUACGGGAGGCAGCAGUAGGGAAUUUUCGGCAAUGGACGAAAGUCUGACCGAGCAACGCCGCGUGAACGAAGAAGUAUUUCGGUAUGUAAAGUUCUUUUAUUGGGGAAGAAGAAAGUGACGGUACCCAAUGAAUAAGCUCCGGCUAACUACGUGCCAGCAGCCGCCGCAGUAA
rnacentral:rRNA from 1 species